AGCACUAAAUUUACAGCCUUUAACCCCAAUUUCCAGCACAUCUAAACCCUAGGAGGAGAAGAAAGAAAAAGAGAGAAAGGAAGAAAAAGCUUGGUUUUGGUGAUUCAAGCAAGGAACGGUAAGAAUUCUUGUUUUUGGCUUGAGUAGUCUUUGAAAAUGAGUUAGUGACUCAGAGAAAUGUCUUGUGGUAGCAAAGAUUGGCUUGAUUGGAGAAAAUUGAUAACAUGUAAGCCAAUAAAACCAUGGGUACAUAAAGGACUCAAAGUGAAAAAGGAAAACGGUAAGCUUAACACUAUGUUUUAAAGCCUACGGUUAGUUGAAUAUUGUGAGGAAUUAUGGUUGUUGAAAUAAUCUAUUUGCCUAACCUAGUUGAAAAUUAUUAAGAUUGUAUGGCAUGUUGUUUGAAAGAAAUGAAAAAGGAAUAUUGUGGAUGGAGGAUUGAGAAACAAAGUAUUGAAAGUUAGAUAACGAUGCAUGUAAACUAGGAAAUAAUCGAGUGAAAGUGAGAAUGAUUGUUGCUGCCAUAUAUGUGGAUUAUGCGUGGAAAUAUUAGAUGGAUUUGAUCGGAAAUUAUUUAGAAAGGUUGAAGUAGGCACGUGACAUCAUAAAUAAGUUACCGGUGAUAUAAUCUAAGAAAUUACGUAAGCAAUGGAUAUAAGUAAUUUUAGAAAAAAUGUAUUAAGAUGUGAGUUAAUUGAAGAUGGUUUCAUGAUAGGAUAAAAAAUAUAAAUUUGAGUAAGGAUUAAUUGAUUGAAGUGCUGUCCGUAUACGUAUAUAAUUAAAUAUAUCUUGUUUGUAUUAUUGUUAGAAAGUGCAAAAGAUAAAGUUAGAGUAUUAUGGUGGCGUGCAGGAAUAAACAACGAGCGACCAGCUAGUGAAAAUAAUCAAA
rnacentral:lncRNA from 1 species